rnacentral:lncRNA from 1 species
GCCAGAAUGUGAUAUAUCUAAAGGAGUUAUUUAUCUAGUUUAUAAAAUCUUGGAAAGAAACAAUCUAUCUUCUGGAGGAGACUCUGAGGUCUGAGCAUAUAAAAUUGUACAGGCUGUGAAGUUACUGCCCUAUGACAUAUAAGAGAGCAUCAUUAUUAGAUUAUGGGUUAGAGGUCCCGAGUUCCUAGUUCAGGCUCUGGAACUAAUUUUCUGAUGACUUUUGGAAAGUUCCUACAUAUUUGCUUCAAAAAUCUUUUUCUAGUUACAGAUAAAAGAGUUGGAAAUAUUUAAGAUAGCAAAUAUACUGCUUGAGGGUUGUUACUUUCCGCCAUCUCCACAUUCAUCUAUAUAGAUAGUUAAACCUGACCCUAUUCAUUCAUUCAUUUAUUAAAACUUGACCAAAACCCUCAUUCUUAAACUUUGUAGUUUUCAACACACGUAUGAACAUAAUUGAAUUGUCAUUUAACAUGAAUAUUACUCCCAGAGCAGAUGGUCUCCAAGCCCUCUUCUAUUUUCCUAGUAUUCUGUGAUCUUGCAUGGAUCCUUCUGUGCAAGAAAUUUUGCAUAACCUCUAAAAGGGAUCCCUUUUGCUUCAGUUCUUGACUAUGUGCCUUGGUUGACUGCCUUUUCCUUAAUGCAGGACACACUUUGCUCAUGAGUACAGUUAAUGAACUAUUAGAACAUUAGUGCCCACACAUUCGUGUGCAUCAGCAUCUGGAGAAACACAGAUUUCUGUACCCCACUUCAGUUGUUGAUCCAGGAGGUCUGGAGUGAGACCCUUGAAUUUGCAAUUCCAACAAGUUUCUUGGUGAUUGUGAUGCUGCUGCUCCAAGGAUAACAUUUUCAGAAACAUUUCUGUCUAAAACAUUACUGAACCUAGAGUUAGUAGAUCUCCAAUCAUCUAUGGAUAGAUUUCAGGGAGAGUAUAAAAAAGAAAAAGAUGGUUUAAACAAUUGCAUUUAUAUUUUACUAAACUACUAUGAAUGUAGGCAACAAACCACAGAAAUAUUAGUUGUACCUGACUUUGUCCCAAUAUAAAUAAGACAUAUUUUCAUAUCAUCCUACAAUGGUUUCAGAUAUCUUGAAAUAUGGUUUAUGCACAUCACCACUCUGACAUAAUAUUGGCUAUUUAUCUGUCAUUAGAUUUGAUUAUGAGUUAUUAUAAAGGCCAUUUCUUAUUAUGUCUCAAUAAAACAUGUUAGUAACUUAUUUUAAUAUAAAUUUUUCUUUUUAAUUUUAUGCAUUUUAUUUUUAACACUGAAAAUAGUAUUCUGAAUAGAAUUUAUAGGCUUCAUCAAUUUGUUAGAAGGGUUCAUGGCGGGAGACAUAAACUCUCUUUCUAAAUGAUGAGAAUAAUAAAGAUGUUAAGGCCAAGUCAUGUGCCAUACACCAGGACCUUCGUGGUUAUGCUCACACCAUCAGAAAACCUGGCAGCCACAGAACUGGAGGUGCUGGGUGAUGUCUCUCUCCUGUCGCCUUCCCAUCUGAGCAGAUGAUGCUUAUAGUAAGAUGCCUCUGAUGUUUCUUUAAGUUUGAUUAUCACUCAGAGUAGCAGCUCUCAAAACAUGGUGGCAGUGGCAAGGUCUCUGCAACCUUUUCAUGGAAUCUCAAAAGACAAGAAAGCACCUGGAUCGAUGCUGAGGCCAAGUAAAUAAGAACAGGAGGAUGCCUCUCCCUGAGCCCUGGCAGAAGCAUUAGACUGAUGGAUUGUGGUCCUUGCUUCAGAGAA